rnacentral:rRNA from 1 species
UAUGAAGUCGGAAUUGCUAGUAAUCGCAGAUCAGCAUGCUGCGGUGAAUACGUUCCCGGGCCUUGUACACACCGCCCGUCACACCAUGAGAGUCGAUAACACCCGAAGCCUGUAGUCUAACCAUAAGGGGGACGCAGUCGAAGGUGGGAUUGAUAAUUAGGGUGAAGUCGUAACAAGGUAGC